GUGUCAGCAGCCGCGGUAAGACGUAGGGCGCAAGCGUUGUCCGGAUUUAUUGGGCGUAAAGAGCUCGUAGGCGGCCUGUUACGUCGUCCGUGAAAACCUGGGGCUUAACUCUGGGCGUGCGGUCGAUACGGGCAGGCUAGAGGCAGGUAGGGGAGAUCGGAAUUCCUGGUGUAGCGGUGAAAUGCGCAGAUAUCAGGAGGAACACCGGUGGCGAAGGCGGAUCUCUGGGCCUGUUCUGACGCUGAGGAGCGAAAGCGUGGGGAGCGAACAGGAUUAGAUACCCUCGUAGUCC
rnacentral:rRNA from 1 species